CAGUCGCCGCGGUAAUACGUAGGGUGCGAGCGUUAAUCGGAAUUACUGGGCGUAAAGCGUGCGCAGGCGGUUUUGUAAGACAGGCGUGGAAUCCCCGGGCUCAACCUGGGAAUGGCGCUUGUGACUGCAAAGCUAGAGUGCGGCAGAGGGGGAUGGAAUUCCGCGUGUAGCAGUGAAAUGCGUAGAUAUGCGGAGGAACACCGAUGGCGAAGGCAAUCCCCUGGGCCUGCACUGACGCUCAUGCACGAAAGCGUGGGGAGCAAACAGGAUUAGAUACCCCGGUAGUCCCUGUCUCUUAUAC
rnacentral:rRNA from 1 species